CAUCACAGGCAGAGUUCUAGUU
rnacentral:miRNA from 1 species